UAUAUAUAUAGUGCGGCUAGUAUGCUUAUGGAAGCACGAAAUACUCCGUGCUUCCAAGUUGUUUUCGAUAUUAGGACUUUCGAAUCGACGAUCGGCUCCGUUAAAUUUGAUCUAGAGUAUUUGAAGUGCCUAGAAAAUAAAUUUUACAAUUUUUCGAGAUCAUUUGCCUAGUGAUCGAAGGGGCUCAAAAUCAAUGGCUGAAAAUAAAAAUCUCACAAAAUGUGAUGAUAUGACAUUAAAAAUUUAGAUCAAAGAUAUUGAUCUUAUUUUAUAUAGUGUAAAGAAUUUUCUAUCAAAAUUUCACGUGAUUUGGAUAUUUCUACACCGUUAAACUUGCAACCGGCUCACCACGGCCAUUAAAAUUAUUGAUUUUGAGCCCCUUCGAUCACUAGGCAAAUGAUAUCGAAAAAUCACAAAAUUUGUUUUCUAGGUACUUCAAAUACUAUAGAUCAAGUCUAACGGAGCCGAUCAUCGAUUCGAAAGUCCAAACAUCGAAAAUGACUUGGAAGCACGGAAGGCUCCGUGUUUCUAUAAGCAUACCAGCCCACUCUAUAUAUAUAUAUAUAUAUAUAUAUAUAUACA
rnacentral:lncRNA from 1 species